GUAUGGAAUGUAAUAUGUAUACAAUAUGUUCUAUGCUGUGUUUUUCCAUCACUAUGUACAGAUAUUGUGAUUCAAGGUAAUACAUACAAUUCAUUUACAUUCACCUGUCUUUGCAGGACACAGACCCAAACCAGAGGACAACAACUCUACAUUGACUCAGAGGAAUCCUCCAGGACGACGACACAAACCAAAACCACUGCACAACUCUACAUCAACUCCCACACUUUCCAGAGGAUUCCUCCUGUAUGCUGUUCAUGGUGAAGAGCAACUUGAGGCUGACAGGGAUGCAAGUUGGACUGCUUAUCAAAGACAAAGGCCAGCUACAAGUCUUCAUCAUCAUUCAUCACAAGGUCAUCAUUCAUUUCAAAAGGGACAUGCCAACUGGCUAGUUGGGCUCAAUGUGAAGAAAAAGACUGUGAAUCUCUUGUGUGUUCACAAAACAUGGACUGUUGACCACACAGUGUUUUGGACUUGGACUACAUCAUGUAGGCUACUAUACUCUUUUCAAUGACAUCACACUGCAUAUUGGUAAAAUAGUCCCUGGAGGAGUAAUGUUUGAAUUAGAUUCCUAAGGGCCCAGAAGUCAUGGAUGAGGGUACUGAUGUAUGGUUACAGAUUCAAAUCUGCAACCUUCCAAUUGCAAGAUUAACUCCCUACCAUUAGACCACAGCUCUCUACAGUUUGUUUUUUUCUACAUAAAUUCUUUGUCCCUCCAUCAGUCUUACCAAAAGUCAAAACAUAAUGUUUUCUUACUGCACCCACAAUUUCGUCCGUACCCUGUUUGGCUAGCUGAUUUGUCAUGAAUUUUGAUGGUAUAAAGUAUUAAUGGUCUGUGCAUGUAUUAAUAUGUGGGACAUUGAACGUGAACAACAACUAUGUAGUUGAAUCAACUUUUUGACUUACAACUUUUUGACUUACAAAUGUAAGGCAGCAGGGGAUCUUGAAUCUGUGAGUCGUCUUGAAUGUACUGUAAAAGUUAAAAUAAAUUUGGAAUUGAAGUCA